UUCCUUACCUAGUUGGCCAUUUCUUGCCAA
rnacentral:piRNA from 1 species